CAUAUAAGUGCAUCAUUUGACUCACAAGUGUGGGGUACUAUGGUAUAACCUUUGAAACCUGUGUUUCGACCGUAGAGCAGAGAUUAAUAAAAGCCAGAGCGAGAACUGACUUCACAGAGGCAGUGGGGUUGGAGUUGAAUCUUGUCAGUUAGAUGGCUUUUCGGGUGAACACAGAGAGUGAGGUGAGGACCUCUAGAAGAAGAACAAAGGCACCAACAUGGGAACAAGCAGACUCCAGAGGCUGGCAUGGACAGGUGCUAGGAUACCCACACAGUGGAAAUUUCUACAAACUGAAGAGCAAUAGGUCAGAAAUUGGACCUUCUAGAAGGAAUAGCAAAGGAGGAUCGUCUUGGUUUGUCAGAGAGGAGAUGCACUGGUAAGCACUCCUGAUUACCAAAGCUCCAAGGAAGACUCAUAAGUAUAGACUUUUUAGGGUAAGCUGACAUCAACACCAUGAGCGGCACCUGUCAAAUCUUACCAUGUGCCUGAGUCAGGAUUUAUAGGACUACUUUAAUCCAGAAGGAGAAACUUCAUGAAAGUAAACAGUAGUUCACUCAGUAUCAACAAAAUGUAAUUCAAUUAAUUAGGACUGAAUAAAAUUAAUCAGUAAAAUCUAUGUGUGAUUAUUUGUUUUAAAAUAUUAGUAGUAGUGUUUUUAAUUUUUUUUCUGAUAAGCAGACAAGGUUUCCUUUUUCUUUCCUUUUGAUCUGUUUCUCAUGCUGAGUUUAGCAGGCUGUUUUAGUGCAAACUGAAAGGAAACACUCCUUGAAUGUUUGCUUAUUCCUACUGGCCCCUAAAAUUAGUAAAAAUAUCCUCCUAGACUUUGUAAUAUAUAUUUUAAACUAACGAAUCAUCAGGGAAACAAAGAUGAUAAUGACUCUGGUUCCUAGAAUUCAGAAAAGUGAUUUCAGGUCAGGUUAAGCUUAGAGAAAUCAUAACUGACUUUUGACAAAAAAGAAAGAGGUAAGAUCCUACUUAAAUCAGAUUUUACAAUUUCCAAGUUUUAAUUCAUCUAUGAAGAAACAAACUACACUGACAGAUGUUAUCUCUGGAAUAAUCUAUAUGAUCUUACAGAAAAUAUAUAAAAUACUAAUUGCCUUGUCUACACAAGUAUUUAAAAAGUGAAUAGAUAUUAUUACAACAACCUGAAUUGAGCCUCCUUAUCUUUAAUGACAAUGUAAUUAUUUAUACAGGAUUUUUAGGAACCAGUCCUUUUGCCAGUAUAUAAAUGGCCAGAUAAAUUGGAAAACAAAGUCAUGCUUGUAAUGCCAUGGUGGAGAAUAAAUCCCAUUUAAUCAGGUAUGAAGGGCCUACCACUAAGGAGCAAGGGUUGUGCUUUCUAUGUGGAAUCAAUACCUACCAAGCCCUCUGAGGAGGUCUAUGGCUUUCAGCUGACAGUAAAGAAGGUCACUUCCUGGCAGGCCAGGAAUCUCACUGGAUUGGCGGAUGUUGCAGAGGCAAAGCUUAUUACAGUUGCAGUUACUGCAGGUAAAGCCGAGUGGAGAAAAACUUCUUAGUCUCUUAGCCUCAGGUAAGAUAAUCAUAGCAGAAACAAAACUGAAACAAUAAAGACUGUUGAAAACGCAACCCUAGAUCCUUAGAUUCUUUAUAGAACCUCCAGACAGAAAUUAAUUAGGGUUUCUCUCUCGUUUUGCUAAAAAUAAAAGUGUUUAUGAUCCAACAGUUCUUGCUAUCUACAUGUAAAUAAAUCAGUCCAAAAAGAACAGAACCUGUUCAAUGUACUACAUACAGUAACUACCGUUGAAUCUGGUAUAAUAAUAUAAAUUACUGUACAAUUAGUAUUGGAGUCAUUGCUGUAUAUGUAGGCAACAUAUUAAGCCUAUGUCUAACUUCAUUUAUCUAUAGAAACUGUAGAAAGCAAAUAACAAGUUAGAUGAAUGCACUUAGUACAAAAUAUAUGAAAUCAUCUUUUUAUGUGUGUGUAACUACAUGUGCAUACAUUCAUUAUCAAGAAUAAAAUUCAGCUUUUUUUGUGAUGGUACAGGCAAUGUUCAGGAUAGUUUAUCUAGAACCUGAAAAUAAGGAAGAAAAAAAAAGACUACAUAAUCUUUUAAUGUCCUACUAGUAUUUUUCUGGUGCAUCUGAGAGCCAUCUGAGUUUCUCAAGAAAUGUAAUUUUCACUAACGUUUCUUUAGAGCCCAGAUGUUCUUUUACCUUAGUAUUCUUAUUUCAGCAUUCUGAUUUCCACUGUUUAUGUAAAUCCUAAUUUCUCAUAUUCUCACUGAAGUAGUUUUGCCAUACUAAAGGCCCUUUAACUACUUAAAUACAAUUCUGACACAUGCCAAAUAUCUCCUUUUUUUAAAUUGUGGUAAGAACACAACAUAAGUGCUACCCUGUUAACAACUUUUUAAGCAUACAUUAGUGUUACUAACUAUAGGCAAAAUAUUGUUCUGUAGAUCUCUAGAAUGUAUUCAUCUUGCAUACCUGAAAUUUUACACCUGUCAAACAGCAACUUUCCGCUUCCUCCUGGCUAUGAAAACCAUCAUUCUACUUUCUACUUCUUUGAGUUUGACUAUUUUAGAUAUCUCAAAUAAGUGGAAUUAUACAAUAUUUGUCCCUUUGUGACUAGUUUAUUUUACUUAGCAUAAUAUCCUCAAGGUUUAUCCAUAUUCUUACAUAUGACAAGAUUUCCUUUUAAUAAGGCUUAAAAAUAUUUCAUUAUUUGUAUAUUAUAUAUAUAUAUAUAUAUAUAUAUAUAUAUACACACACACACAUAUAUACACACCACAUGUUUUGUAUACACUCAUUAAUAGAUGGAUAUUUAUGUUGUUUCUACAUUUUGGCUAUUGUGAAUAAUACUGUAAUGAACAUGAGAGAGCAAAUACCUCUUCAAGAUCCUGAUUUCUAGUCUUUUCAAUAAAUACCCAAAAAAGGGAUUGCUGGAUCAUAUGGCAGUUCUAUUUUUAACUUUUGAAGGAACCUCCAUAUUGUUUUCAUGAAUGUUAUACCAAUUUACAUUUUCGCCAACAGUGUACAAGGGUUCCAAUAUCUCCACAUUCUUGCCAACAACUAUCCUUUUUAAAAAUAAUACCCAAAUGCAAAUCAAAACCACAUUGAGAUACCAUCUCACACCAGUUAGAAUGGCAAUCAUUAAAAAAUCUGGAGACAACAGAUGCUGGAGAGGAUGUGGAGAAAUAGGAACACUUCUACACUGUUGAUGGGAGUGUAAAUUAAUUCAACCAUUGUGGAAGACAGUGUGGCAAUUCCUCAAGGACCUAGAAAUAGAAAUUCCAUUUGACCCAGCAAUCCCAUUACUGGGUACAUAUCCAAAGGAUUAUAAAUCUUUCUAUUAUAAAGACCCAUGCACACAUAUGUUCAUUGUGGCACUGUUUACAAUAGCAAAGACCUGGAACCAACCCAAACGCCCAUCGAUGAUAGACUGGACAGGGAAAAUGUGACACAUAUACACCAUGGAAUACCAUGCAGCCAUAAAAAACGAUAAGUUCCUGUCCUUUGUAGGGACAUGGAUGAAUCUGGAAACCAUCAUUCUCAGCAAACUGACACAAGAACAGAAAAUCAAACACCACAUGUUCUCACUCAUAGGUGGGUGUUGUACAAUGAGAACAUUUGGACACAGGGAGGGGAGCAUCACACACUGGGGUCUGUUACGGGGAAUAGAGGAGGGACAGCGGGGGUAGGAAAGUUGGAGAGGGAUAACAUUGAGAGAAAUGCCAGAUAUAGGUGACAGUGGGAUGGAGGCAGCAAACCACAUUUCCAU
rnacentral:lncRNA from 1 species